UUGACCUCGGAUCAGGUAGGGAUACCCGCUGAACUUAAGCAUAUCAAUAAGCGGAGGAAAAGAAACCAACAGGGAUUGCCCUAGUAACGGCGAGUGAAGCGGCAACAGCUCAAAUUUGAAAUCUGGCGUCUUUGGCGUCCGAGUUGUAAUUUGCAGAGGGCGCUUUGGCAUUGGCAGCGGUCCAAGUUCCUUGGAACAGGACGUCACAGAGGGUGAGAAUCCCGUACGUGGUCGCUAGCCUUUACCGUGUAAAGCCCCUUCGACGAGUCGAGUUGUUUGGGAAUGCAGCUCUAAAUGGGAGGUAAAUUUCUUCUAAAGCUAAAUACUGGCCAGAGACCGAUAGCGCACAAGUAGAGUGAUCGAAAGAUGAAAAGCACUUUGGAAAGAGAGUUAAAAAGCACGUGAAAUUGUUGAAAGGGAAGCGCUUGCAGCCAGACUUGCCUGUAGUUGCUCAUCCGGGUUUUUACCCGGUGCACUCUUCUACGGGCAGGCCAGCAUCAGUUUGGGCGGUUGGAUAAAGGUCUCUGUCACGUACCUCCUCUCGGGGAGAUCUUAUAGGGGAGACGACAUGCAACCAGCCUGGACUGAGGUC
rnacentral:rRNA from 1 species